GGAGGUGUGCCAGAGCGGUCGAAUGGGGCGGUCUCGAAAACCGUUGAACCUUUGGGUUCCGGGGGUUCGAAUCCCUCCACCUCCG
rnacentral:tRNA from 1 species